CUUGGCGCCUGCCCCCCUUCGGCCCAGGCCUGGGCGCAGACCCUCGCUAGAGCCCGCAGCUGCUUUGGGAGGGGGGGGUUCCAGGCGUCUAGGGAAUGAUGCAAGGCGGAGGAAAGCUUGGAGCUGGUGGAUCCCCGUGGGGCGCAUCCCGGAGGCCAGCCUUGGGGCUUUUGCUGCUACAUCCCCAGGGCCGCUCUGCCUCCAGCGCUUUCUGAAUCCUGGAUCUCGGCCCUCUCCAGUUCUAUGAACCACCCAGCACCGUGCCAGGACAUUUCCUUCUUGUUUAGGUUGGCCCGGGUUCGUUUCCGCGGCCGAAAACCCGAGCACCCGGUGGAAGCGACAGCUCAGCUCGCCGAACAUUCCGUGUGCUCGAUCGCCCCUCGGCGAUCCAGCCGUAAACACAGACCCCUUGGACUUGAAAAUUUCCACAAGGUGAUCAGAUAACUAAAGAGGAAGGAAUACACUGAUAGAAGGACGCCAGAUUGAAAGCCGCGCCCACGUGCUGCUAAAACAAGAAUUCGGAGGUGGUGGUCAUUAAGACAGCAGCGUCUAUUGGGACCAAGAAAGUUAAGUUGGUCUAUAUAACAGCCUUGUCCCACAGAAGUAGAAUAUAAGCCGCAAAUGUGAGACAGAGCCAUACAAAGGUGCGUCCUGCUCAGCAGUAGUCAGAGGCCCAUCGUCUUGUGCUGUGACACCCCAGGGACCCAGGGAACAGACAGGAAGCGGUGCAGGAAGGGUCCGAGGAGAUCGAAGCAGCAGGAAGUGACAGCCAGCAGGCAGGAAGAGGAAGGGGAAGACGAAAAGACAGAGGCAGCCUGGCUUCCCCGGGCACUCGCCAAAGACGCACUGAGCGCCAGCCAGGCCCUCAAAGAUGCGAGCGGGGACCAGCAGCUGGCAGAUUCGAAGGCUUCUCUUCUCAGCGCCACCCGCCAACCUUCAGACUCAGCCAGCGUCAGCGUCGGCGUUGAGGGGUUUCCAUCAGCUCCUGGCUCCUGACGGCCUCUUUGUCCUGCUGCCCCGCCCUUACCCCCCAGGAGCAGGUGGCCGAGGAGUGAGGACCCCUUCUCUCGAGGCAGGAGGGGGACCCCAUCAGUGCUUCCUUUGUGGGUCUUGCCCGACGUGGGGGGGAUGAAGGGAGGAGGGCGCCGAGGUGCCCAGCCACCCCCCACCCCCCACCCUCAGAGCAACAGGGCCGCUAGAACGUUCUGCAGCGGCCAGGACAAUAGGCAUCAGCCACGCGGAUCUCCAGAUGCGGCACCUGAAAUACGGCUCGGGCCACAUUUCAAAAUAAAGCAUUUAAUGGGGUUUCAGUUUAA